GAUGAACGCUAGCGAUAGGCCUAACACAUGCAAGUCGAGGGGCAGCAUAGAGUAGCAAUACUUUGAUGGCGACCGGCGCACGGGUGAGUAACACGUAUGCAACCUACCUACAUCAGGGGAAUAACCCGGCGAAAUUCGGACUACUACCGCAUAAUACAGGGAUGACGCAUGGCAAUAUUUGUUCAAGAUUUAUCGGAUGAAGAUGGGCAUGCGUUCCAUUAGCUGGUGGGUGAGGUAACGGCUCACCAAGGCAACGAUGGAUAGGGGAACUGAGAGGUUUGUCCCCCACACUGGAACUGAGACACGGACCAGACUCCUACGGGAGGCAGCAGUGAGGAAUAUUGGUCAAUGGACGAGAGUCUGGACCAGCCAAAUCGCGUGAAGGAAGACUGCCCUACGGGUCGUAAACUUCUUUUGUACAGGAAUAAAAGACAUUACGUGUAAUGUAUUGCAUGUACUGUACGAAUAAGCAUCGGCUAACUCCGUGCCAGCAGCCGCCGUAA
rnacentral:rRNA from 1 species